rnacentral:rRNA from 1 species
AUUGAACGCUGGCGGCAGGCCUAACACAUGCAAGUCGAGCGGAUGAAGGGAGCUUGCUCCUGGAUUCAGCGGCGGACGGGUGAGUAAUGCCUAGGAAUCUGCCUGGUAGUGGGGGAUAACGUCCGGAAACGGGCGCUAAUACCGCAUACGUCCUGAGGGAGAAAGUGGGGGAUCUUCGGACCUCACGCUAUCAGAUGAGCCUAGGUCGGAUUAGCUAGUUGGUGGGGUAAAGGCCUACCAAGGCGACGAUCCGUAACUGGUCUGAGAGGAUGAUCAGUCACACUGGAACUGAGACACGGUCCAGACUCCUACGGGAGGCAGCAGUGGGGAAUAUUGGACCAUGGGCGAAGGCCUGAUCCAGCCAUGCCGCGUGUGUGAAGAAGGUCUUCGGAUUGUAAAGCACUUUAAGUUGGGAGGAAGGGCAGUAAGUUAAUACCUUGCUGUUUUGACGUUACCAACAGAAUAAGCACCGGCUAACUUCGUG